UGCAGCUCAUGCUUCAGAUGGGGAUAAAGCAGUAAACAACUAGGCCAGUCCUUCACAUUUUCUUGUAUUUAUAUCCAUACUUCGUAGAUGUGAGUUUCGAGAAGAAACACAGGGAGAAGAUUGACUAAUUUCUGAGUAGCUUUUUGAUACACUUCUUCCCAAGUUCGUUCAAGUUCUGUAACAUCUUUUUCAACAAAUUUGGGCGAUCUUUGAAGUUUCCCCAAUUCUUUGCCUUUCUGGACACUGGAUUUUACAUCUCCUAAAUGAGUUUCAAGCUGCUGAACUAUUGCCUGCAAGGAAAAAAAAAGUAUUCAUAAGUAGGAGAGUCUUAUAACGUUGCACUAAAGCAUCCAAUUUCUUUUGUUCUUCGGCCCCUUCUUCUUUUGGUAUAUGUGAAAGCAGGCUGUCCAAUUUUCGAACAAGCCAUUUGACGUCUUCACGUCGACUGUCC